AGAACAAAGCUGAAGUCUCAUUUUCAGUAGUGACUGAGUGAGUUUUCACCUUAUUUGUGCUUUCCCUUAACCCAGAAAAUUACCCAUUUCAUUAUCCUGUUGAAGGGAAUAAUAUACAGCAGCAUUACUACCAUUAUAUCAAAGAAGUAGUGGCACCUGGACCUUUGAUGUGAAUUAUGUGUUUCUGCUGUGUUUCAAAGAUGCUCAAGUGCCUGCAUACUACUGAAAGCACAGGCUGAAAAAGGGUAUUUUAUCAGAAAUUUCUAGUCUACAACAUUCAGUGAGAGAAUCAAGAGCUUUUUUUUUUCCUCCUUACUAAAAUAAGCCACAGUUUUUCCUUAAAACCUUAUGCUUUUAGCUUGCUGUGUAAUCUACAGAUACAGGCACUGCAGCUGCUAAGCUUGGAGGCUCUCAGCAAUAAAAACUACAGUAAGUAGCACAAUUUAAACAAGUGAACUACUAGCUCAAGAAAAACCAUGGAAUCAUUUAGGUUGGAAAAAGCCUUUAAGAUUGUUAAGUCCAACAGUUCAUUGGAUUACAUGCUUUACAGCAUUAUGCUUACUGACAGUUAAGCUGCAUUCUCUAGUAUUACUGAAGUUAGACAACCUAAAAUAAGGCAGGAAGUUCUCAAAACUCAGGUUCUUUGAACGACCAUACCAUAGCAGCUGCCAGUCCAAGGCGUAAGAGUCCAGACUUCACUGAAAUAGGUUAAAUUGCUAUCUCUAACAAAAAGCCUUAUGAGAAACAUGAAGAAAAAUGGUUUGGGUAGAAAAAAAGUUCAUGUCUGCUACAACUGAAUCAUUCUGGAUUCUUGCAAUGUUAAGAAAAAAUGGUUCUGCCUUCAUGAUGCCAUUUGAUUUCAAGUAAAUUAAUCUAAUCGUUAUAUAUUGAUACAUUCCUUCAUAAUGCUUGCAGUUAAUGCUUGUUUACCUCUCCUACUGUGACAAAUUAGACACCUACUCACAUGCUUGUAUUUAUUAUUAAAGGAACACACAUGGAGAGCUACAAGCCCGUGAUAAUACAACUGCAAUAUUUAGCUGCCUUUCCAGGCAAUAAUCUUGAUAGCUAAAUAGUUCAGUUCCCCCUCAUAAAUUCAGAAGGAAUAUAACACUGAUACAGUGAAUCCUAAAUAGCUAGAUGAGGAAAAAAGGAGAAUCUAUAAUGGAAUUUACCCAAAUUAUAGUGUAUCACUGAUCCACACUACCAUGAACUAACAGUGGGUACCAUGUAUUUCAAACACACUUUACAUGCUGCCAUUUAGCAAAGCUGUUUGAACAAAAGCUAAAAAUAAAAGCUCUACUGCUAAAAACUGACCCUGGCCUUUAAGUUCAAAGGGCUUUUCAUCCAGCAGAAGACACUUAACAACAUGUGGCUUGAGCCCACAAACACGUUUAGGGAGAAAGCCCAGUCAGAACCUCUGGUUUUCAUACCUAUCACUCAGAAGUGUUUGCAGCACCCUACAAGGAUUGCUUUUUAUAUUCAGUAAAUGGUUUAUAAAAAGUUAUUAUUCAAUUUUUCCACAUACAUUAACCUUCAUUAGUCAGUUCCACUGCACUGAAGUUGCUCGUGUCCCUGAUAAUCCCACUGAGCUGAUCUGCACCCAAAAUUUGAUAUCCAAGACCCAUCCAUCACCAGUUUCACAUAUUGAUGCACAGGCUCUGCCGGAUAAGCCCCGAAACACAGCGGAGACCGAAGGAAAGGCCAGCUCGCCCUCCUGAAGCAGAGGUUGGUUCACGCCUGUCGGCACCAGGGCGGCCGCGGCUGCAGAUGCAUUUCCCUCCCAGACACCAGCGCUGCUUGCACAGACCGGGGGAAGCGGGGGGCUGCCGCUACCGGGAGCCUGUGAUGUGCACCGCCGGCAGCUGCAGGAGUCCGGCAGCGUUUG